rnacentral:rRNA from 1 species
UUGAACGCUGGCGGCAGGCCUAACACAUGCAAGUCGAACGGUAACAGGAAGCAGCUUGCUGUUUCGCUGACGAGUGGCGGACGGGUGAGUAAUGUCUGGGAAACUGCCUGAUGGAGGGGGAUAACUACUGGAAACGGUAGCUAAUACCGCAUAACGUCGCAAGACCAAAGAGGGGGACCUUCGGGCCUCUUGCCAUCGGAUGUGCCCAGAUGGGAUUAGCUAGUAGGUGGGGUAACGGCUCACCUAGGCGACGAUCCCUAGCUGGUCUGAGAGGAUGACCAGCCACACUGGAACUGAGACACGGUCCAGACUCCUACGGGAGGCAGCAGUGGGGAAUAUUGCACAAUGGGCGCAAGCCUGAUGCAGCCAUGCCGCGUGUAUGAAGAAGGCCUUCGGGUUGUAAAGUACGUUCAGCGGGGAGGAAGGCGAUAAGGUUAAUAACCUUGUCGAUUGACGUUACCCGCAGAAGAAGCACCGGCUAACUCCGUGCCAGCAGCCGCGGUAAUACGGAGGGUGCAAGCGUUAAUCGGAAUUACUGGGCGUAAAGCGCACGCAGGCGGUUUGUUAAGUCAGAUGUGAAAUCCCCGGGCUCAACCUGGGAACUGCAUCUGAUACUGGCAAGCUUGAGUCUCGUAGAGGGGGGUAGAAUUCCAGGUGUAGCGGUGAAAUGCGUAGAGAUCUGGAGGAAUACCGGUGGCGAAGGCGGCCCCCUGGACGAAGACUGACGCUCAGGUGCGAAAGCGUGGGGAGCAAACAGGAUUAGAUACCCUGGUAGUCCACGCCGUAAACGAUGUCGACUUGGAGGUUGUGCCCUUGAGGCGUGGCUUCCGGAGCUAACGCGUUAAGUCGACCGCCUGGGGAGUACGGCCGCAAGGUUAAAACUCAAAUGAAUUGACGGGGGCCCGCACAAGCGGUGGAGCAUGUGGUUUAAUUCGAUGCAACGCGAAGAACCUUACCUGGUCUUGACAUCCACGGAAGUUUUCAGAGAUGAGAAUGUGCCUUCGGGAACCGUGAGACAGGUGCUGCAUGGCUGUCGUCAGCUCGUGUUGUGAAAUGUUGGGUUAAGUCCCGCAACGAGCGCAACCCUUAUCCUUUGUUGCCAGCGGUCCGGCCGGGAACUCAAAGGAGACUGCCAGUGAUAAACUGGAGGAAGGUGAGGAUGACGUCAAGUCAUCAUGGCCCUUACGACCAGGGCUACACACGUGCUACAAUGGCGCAUACAAAGAGAAGCGACCUCGCGAGAGCAAGCGGACCUCAUAAAGUGCGUCGUAGUCCGGAUUGGAGUCUGCAACUCGACUCCAUGAAGUCGGAAUCGCUAGUAAUCGUGGAUCAGAAUACCACGGUGAAUACGUUCCCGGGCCUUGUACACACCGCCCGUCACACCAUGGGAGUGGGUUGCAAAAGAAGUAGGUAGCUUAACCUUCGGGAGGGCGCUUACCACUUUGUGAUUCAUGACUGGGGUG